rnacentral:rRNA from 1 species
GAUGAACGCUGGCGGCGUGCCUAAUACAUGCAAGUCGAGCGAACGGACGAGAAGCUUGCUUCUCUGAUGUUAGCGGCGGACGGGUGAGUAACACGUGGAUAACCUACCUAUAAGACUGGGAUAACUUCGGGAAACCGGAGCUAAUACCGGAUGAUAUUUUGAACCGCAUGGUUCAAAAGUGAAAGACGGUCUUGCUGUCACUUAUAGAUGGAUCCGCGCUGCAUUAGCUAGUUGGUAAGGUAACGGCUUACCAAGGCAACGAUGCAUAGCCGACCUGAGAGGGUGAUCGGCCACACUGGAGCUGGGACACGGUCCAGACUCCUGCGGGAGGCAGCAGUAGGGAAUCUUCCGCAGUAGGCGAAAGCCUGACAGAGCAACGCCGCGUGAGUGAUGACGGUCUUCGGAUCGUAAAACUCUGUUAUUAGGGAAGAACAUAUGUGUAAGUAACUGUGCACAUCUUGACGGUACCUAAUCAGAAAGCCACGGCUAACUACGUG